rnacentral:rRNA from 1 species
GAUGAACGCUGGCGGCGUGCCUAACACAUGCAAGUCGAACGGAGUCGUUUUGGAAAUCUCUUCGGAGAUGGAAUUCUCGACUUAGUGGCGGACGGGUGAGUAACGCGUGAGCAAUCUGCCUUUAAGAGGGGGAUAACAGUCGGAAACGGCUGCUAAUACCGCAUAAAGCAUUAAAUUCGCAUGUUUUUGAUGCUAAAGGAGCAAUCCGCUUUUAGAUGAGCUCGCGUCUGAUUAGCUAGUUGGCGGGGUAACGGCCCACCAAGGCGACGAUCAGUAGCCGGACUGAGAGGUUGAACGGCCACAUUGGGACUGAGACACGGCCCAGACUCCUACGGGAGGCAGCAGUGGGGAAUAUUGCGCAAUGGGGGAAACCCUGACGCAGCAACGCCGCGUGAUUGAAGAAGGCCUUCGGGUUGUAAAGAUCUUUAAUCAGGGACGAAACAAAUGACGGUACCUGAAGAAUAAGCUCCAGCUAACUACGUG